rnacentral:rRNA from 1 species
CCUACGGGCGGCAGCAGUGGGGAAUAUUUGACAAUGGGGGGAACCCUGAUCCAGCCAUGCCGCGUGUGUGAAGAAGGCCCUCGGGUUGUAAAGCACUUUCAGUGAGGAAGAACGCCUGGUGGUUAAUACCCAUCAGGAAAGACAUCACUCACAGAAGAAGCACCGGCUAACUCCGUGCCAGCAGCCGCGGUAAUACGGAGGGUGCGAGCGUUAAUCGGAAUUACUGGGCGUAAAGCGCGCGUAGGUGGCUUGAUAAGCCGGUUGUGAAAGCCCCGGGCUCAACCUGGGAACGGCAUCCGGAACUGUCAAGCUAGAGUGCAGGAGAGGAAGGUAGAAUUCCCGGUGUAGCGGUGAAAUGCGUAGAGAUCGGGAGGAAUACCAGUGGCGAAGGCGGCCUUCUGGACUGACACUGACACUGAGGUGCGAAAGCGUGGGUAGCAAACAGGAUUAGAUACCCCAGUAGUA